CCUUGUUGACCCAAAUCCCGUGGAGGCAGCGCACGAACCAAAUCUUCUCCGAGGGCAGAUCCCUACUCCAAGUUGGGUGAGCACUCCUGGUAGAGCUUCCGUUGCAGAUUCCCUUCUGAAGCUUCCGACAUCGGUUGGUUCGUCGCCUCCUCUCUCCAGUAACAGCUAGCGCCCUCCUCCCCCACGUCGGCGGCUAGCCAGUGGUGGUUUCCUCGGCUCCUUCCCCUCCAGCCCGUGCGACGAGGUGGUUCAUUUUCCUGGACAAGAAGCUCGAUGAACAAGAAGCACUUCAUCUAGAGGCAACUAUUGUGUGCCAUCAAGAUAGCAACGUCGAUCUAGUUCUUAAUGGCAAUGCUUGCUCAGUGAUGAUUAUCAUAGUCCUUGAGACUUAGCAUAGCCCGCCAUGUACGAAAGUUGAAGCAAUUUUCGCUAGCAAUUCUUGUUGAUCUUGUCAGGUUAUUGAUAGCUCAAUUUGAAUGUCUUCUUGUGUUAUGCCCGGUAUGUUCCAGUUUGACAUGUACUAAAAAAAUGUGCGUGGAUAGACCAGUUUGACAUGCAGUCAAGCAUUAUGUGCCUAUAAUGGUCCAUUUUAA